CGAAGUGUCACUGCCUACGAAAGUAUGGCCGUCAUUGGAUACGCACAGCGUACAGCUGACUGCACUUCGUGGCAUUUGUAGCCACGUUGUUCGUUUAAAAUAGCAAGUACUGUGUAUUUUUGUCUUGAAUAAGUCAACAAUGCUGUGCUUUUAGCUGAACUUUCGAAGCCAAGAAGAGAGGGAAGCAGCAAGAAGAAGAAUAUGGCUGAUGAACUUCUGCAGAGCAAACUGGCAGAACACAAAAGCAACUGCAUUAUGUGGAGAUUAUCUUGGAUGAGCUCCAGCAAUUAUUCUGAUUACACACUUUUGUGCAACGAACACUCUUUUACUCAAUGAUGAGUUACCCCAGAAUAUGAUGCCGUACAAAAGCAGAGAAUGAAAAUAGGCAAGAAUCACUUCACUCCAGACCAAUUUGAAACCAACAGAGCUUGUGGAGUGGUAAAACUUAAACCAAAUGCUGUGACAACCAUUUUUUGUCAUCAUAAGCCACCAGUGGGAUGUAAAGCUCCUUCUGAGAGAAACCUGUUGGCCCACUAGAGAAACAAACUGAGGAUACUGAGGUUGGAGAGCCUUCAAAUGUGACCAGUGACAUCAGUCCUCCAGAGAACCUGGACGAAGAGUGUGUUUAGAAUAAGACAACUUUCUUGCCAGCCUGCAUGGUUUAUUUGGUGCAGAUCGGUUUGCAGUAUUAACAAAGGGGACAUGUAAAGGUAGCAAAUGGUCAGUGGAAAGGGCUGAGAAUUAGACUAGCUUGUGGUAGUAUGUGGUAGAAAAUAAAUUUCCGUUUCCUUCAGACAGAACCCCAAGAUGUUUGCUACAGAAUGUGAAAUUUAGACCUGGUGUGCUGAGGCAGCUAAUGAGUUUUCCUGAAAGUUAACUUUGACCUCAUGCUGCCAGAUGAAAAAUGUGCUCCUCCCCUCAUGGAUGAGGGUCGUAUCAUUCCAUCAUUGGAACAUGAUUGGAGCAUUAGUUGUUAUGCUGGGUGGUAUUACCUGAAAAUGGAAACAUACAAUAGGUUAGUAUUACACAGGCCAUCUUUUUCCAGUUCUCAUGUCAAAAGCAUCACUAUAAGCAUUUAGUGAAUCUGAGGCACUCGGUAUCAAUGUUCACUACGUCGUGUCAGAUACGGCAGGGCAAAAUCGAGCUGUAUGGUGAGAAUUUGGAAUUGUUGUUGGCAGGUUUUCAAAAUUAGUCAAUUUUUGCCAGUAUCCUUGUGAUAACAGAAAGCUAAUUUUCCUCAGAGAUACACCACACAUUUUGAAAAUAUGAGGAACCACUUAGUCACCGGGCAAUAAGUCUUCCUUUCACAAAAUGUUGUUGAGGAACGAUAUCUACCUUGUAAUGAGGUACAUAUAAAUCGUGUAAAACAGUUGCUUGAGAUAGACAAUGGUUUAAGUCUUAAACUGGCACCAUAACUGCAUGAGAGGUGUUUGAUGCCAAACCUUUAUGAUAAAAUGAAAGUUGGCUUGGCUACUGCCCUAAUUAACAGCCAGACUGCAGCAGCCAUUGAGUAUGGUGUCAGGACAGAGAAACUGCAGAAAAAUGCUUUAACCACAGCACGGUUUCUAAAGCACGUUCAUAAGUGGUUUCGCUUCAUGACAUGUAGAGCUCCAGUUAUGGCUCUGAGUCGUUCUGAUGAACAAACAUACAGUGAGGCUCUCUGUCAUCUGGAGGACACUCUGUGUUUAUUUCAAAACUUGAAAAUUGGCCUGAAGGGUGCCUGGAAACCAGUUCAGUCUUUGUAGUUUUGUCAACUGUAGGUAUUUUGGAAUUGCAGGACACAUUCAUGAAUGAGAAGAAUUUUAAAUUUCUGCUGACAAGUAGAUUUGCACAAGAUGCUUUAGGAAAUCUGUUUUCAAUGGUCUUCUUCAAAAAUCCAGUAUCAGCACCACCAGAACUGAAAACAGCACUGAUGAUUAUUACUCUUUCUUAAUUCUUUACUUCUACCACUGAUAAUGAAAAUUAAGACAGUAGAUUCCUGGCAGAAUUAGUGGGGUAAUUUGUAAGUGAAGAUGAGGAUAAGUGUGCUGAGGAAGUUGACGAGCCACUUGCAACAUGGUGUGUGAUGAUGAGCACCAGUCUCUCUGCUAUUUGUGUUGUCACAGUGUUAGGCAAGCUAUGAAGCGCCAUGCGCUUUGCGAAUUUUGCGAGGAGAGCCUAAUCGCAUCUAAAGAAAAUCCCUGUACGUCUGUGAACAUGCUUUUACAUCUCAAGUCCUUUAAAGAUACCUCACUUAUUCAGCCACCAAGUGAGGUUUUCAGUGUAUUGCAAAUGGCAAAGGUUCAUUUGAGAAGCAACAAGAAGAAGUUACUCACAAGUGAAUUUUUGGUCUCUGAUAUAGCCACUUCUGUGUUUGCAUCAGUGGAGGAGAAAGUAGUUUUCCCAGCCAGCCGCUUUAUACAGAAGAAAAUAAUUCACUUUGUUGGCAACAAGAGUACAUAUGCUUCUAAAUGAGGCAAAUAAAAGAUACCAGGGUGUAGUGACACAGGGCAGUAGACGCUUGGCCAUGAGAAAAUUAUUGCAGAAUCUGCGACUUCCAGAAUCACUUUUUACUAAAUAAUUUGGAAAAUUGACAUUGAAACUUCUUAAGGUUAUCGUUAACAUAUUGAGGUACAAAAUCUGUGGUAACAUUUUCUCUUCAAAUAAUCUCAUUUUUGUUUGACUUACAGUGAUUUUUACAAAAUUUUUGUUCCAUGUUUCUUUCUGAGUGUGGAAUGUUAUUAUUAUCUCAUGUAAUAUUUGUUACAUUUUGCAAGCAGACUCUGUCCCUGUCAAGGGUUCAGAAUGAUACAUAGAUAAAUAAAAUCUUCAUCCCUCAA